AUAUUAAAUGCCAGCCAGCCACGUGAGUUGGCCAAACCAAAACGAUGUCAAUAACCCAGAAGUUCAGAUCAAAACCUGAAGACGAGAAGAAAGAAACACUCUCGAUAUUGUGUGGCCAUCAUUACAUAUUCACAUCUCAUUAGAUAAUUACAAAAGGCUGGCAAACACAUAGUGAAAUUUGUGAAUGGAUCUGACCCAGUUUACGAUCUUGCCACCAAACAGUACCACAGCUUAAAAUAAGCACAAAGAACGGUUACCUUCUAAUAUGAAACUAAUUUGAGCUGGUAGCUAGAAGAGGAAGAGUCGGGGCUACUAAUCCGAAAUAUGGAUCGAGAUUGGUGUAUUCAUUGAAACUUAUUGGAGAAAGAACUCUCGUCCAAACAAGGUUGAUGACAAA